rnacentral:rRNA from 1 species
AGAGUUUGAUCAUGGCUCAGGAUGAACGCUGGCGGCGUGCUUAACACAUGCAAGUCGAACGAACCUUCGGGUUAGUGGCGGACGGGUGAGUAACGCGUGAGAAUCUGCCCUCAGGAGGGGGAUAACAGUUGGAAACGACUGCUAAUACCCCAUAUGCCGAGAGGUAAAAUGAAUUUUGCCUGGGGAUGAGCUCGCGUCUGAUUAGCUUGUUGGUGGGGUAAAGGCCUACCAAGGCUUCGAUCAGUAGCUGGUCUGAGAGGACGAUCAGCCACACUGGGACUGAGACACGGCCCAGACUCCUACGGGAGGCAGCAGUGGGGAAUUUUCCGCAAUGGGCGCAAGCCUGACGGAGCAACGCCGCGUGAGGGAUGGAGGCCUUUGGGCUGUAAACCUCUUUUCUCAAGGAAGAAGAUCUGACGGUACUUGAGGAAUAAGCCACGGCUAAUUCCGUGCCAGCAGCCGCGGUAAUACGGGAGUGGCAAGCGUUAUCCGGAAUUAUUGGGCGUAAAGCGUCCGCAGGCGGCCGUUUAAGUCUGUUGUUAAAUCGUGGAGCUCAACUCCAUCACGGCAAUGGAAACUGUUCGGCUUGAGUAUGGUAGGGGCAGAGGGAAUUUCCGGUGUAGCGGUGAAAUGCGUAGAUAUCGGGAAGAACACCAGUGGCAAAAGCGCUCUGCUGGGCCAUUACUGACGCUCAUGGACGAAAGCC